GAAAUAAGUGAGAGAACAAAAGAAAAAAUUAGUUAAAAACUAGUUCUAUAAUAAAAUCUCAAUGAGAUACUAAGUAAAAUAUGGGGAUUGACGAUAAGUAAAAUAUCAGACCUUUCUGUCUGCACGUAUUUCGCGUUCUCCCUUUCCCUUUGCCUUGUCCUAUUCAUAUCAUCGGACCUUUUUCGUUCUUCCAAAGUUGUGUUGAACUCUCAACAUGACCGAAGUUGCCUUCAUGACUUCAUCUGGGUAAUUCAUAUCUUUAUAUUGCGAAAUCACGGCGUUCCUGAUCGAUCCUGUGGGACGAUGGCCGUCAUUGCUCGGGCUGAACCCCAGCGUGUUCGAGAAGAUGGCAAAGAAGGCCAAGGAAUUGGGGCCGUACAACGGAUCUACUAUGUACAGCCAUGCCCUCUACGCUGUCUGCACGAUAAGUGAACCAGUGUGGGAUGCCAAACUCGUGGUGGUGAAGGAAUUCGGAUGGACUCAGGAGGAUACAAUGGCAGCCUUUCAGAAGGCCCCGCCCUUCCUGACGAUAUCCGCGGGCAGUCUGAAGAGGAAACUCAAGUUCUUUGUGGACGAACUCAGUUGCAAUCCUGCAUCGAUGCUCAGCUUGGAGAAACGAGUCAUUCCCCGGCUCGCUGUGAUCAAGAUGUUGGAUUCAAAGGAUCUUUGCAAAUUGCAAGAGGAAGAACAGUUUCAAUACGAUUUCGCAUAUGAAAGAUGAGGAAUUCUACGUGGAAUAUGUGCUUAAGCAUAAGGAUGAAUGUCCAGACUUUCUUGAAGUUUAUAGUAGCAGCACCAAUGGCGACUCUGGUGCAUAAACUUAUUUUACUUGAACAAGGUAGAGCAAGUGUGGUGCUGCUUUAUCUUCGUCUUGGUAUCAUUUUUUAUGUUUUCUGCAUAUUCGUUUUUCUGUUGGAUGAAGUUGCUAUUCGUAAUUUCCCCGUGAUGUCAAACAAGUCAUCAUGCCAAGAACAGGUGCCUGGAGAUCCUAGCUUUCGGCUGCUGAGUACUGAGGUCGACUUAGAGUUAUAAGAAUGAGAGCCAACUUGAAAUUUUGGGCUUGGUGCACCUUUUUGCUGGAGGAGCGUACUUCUGGUUACUCUGGCGCUUAGCUCUCUGAUACAAGAAAUUCAUACCUUCCGAUUGCGGCUAGUUGGAAUGAUGCAUGUUAUGAAGGUUUUUGGUGAACAUGCAUAGAUCUGGACACUUGUAGUUGCCUCCAAGUGUUUCUGUUCACCUGUGCCAUGUGGAUGCAGACCAAAUACAGGGAUUCUGCUUUUCUGAUGAAGUUUGCAAAAUAGUUUCUAUGUGGGGGUCAUAGUACAGGAGUCGAAGUGGAGACCUAAUGAUUGUUAAAUACCGUAAUUCAUCGUUGAACACCGAAAGGAGGUAUAUGGGGCCUACAGUUUAUGUGAAAGCCCUGUAGACAAAUAUUUUCCAUCCACAGUAUCAGUUGUUGAAAUGAAAGCAUAAUGGCCAUCGAAUUUCAAGUA